rnacentral:rRNA from 1 species
AUUGAACGCUGGCGGCAUGCUUUACACAUGCAAGUCGAACGGUAACAGGCCGCAAGGUGCUGACGAGUGGCGAACGGGUGAGUAAUGCAUCGGAACGUGCCCAGUCGUGGGGGAUAACGCAGCGAAAGCUGCGCUAAUACCGCAUACGAUCUAUGGAUGAAAGCGGGGGACCGGAAGGCCUCGCGCGGUUGGAGCGGGCGAUGUCAGAUUAGGUAGUUGGUGGGGUAAAGGCUCACCAAGCCGACGAUCUGUAGCUGGUCUGAGAGGACGACCAGCCACACUGGGACUGAGACACGGCCCAGACUCCUACGGGAGGCAGCAGUGGGGAAUUUUGGACAAUGGGCGCAAGCCUGAUCCAGCAAUGCCGCGUGCAGGAAGAAGGCCUUCGGGUUGUAAACUGCUUUUGUACGGAACGAAAAGGCUCUGGAUAAUACCUGGGGCUCAUGACGGUACCGUAAGAAUAAGCACCGGCUAACUACGUGCCAGCCGCCGCAGUAAGAC